rnacentral:rRNA from 1 species
UACGUACGAGGCGAGCGUUAUCCGGAAUUAUUGGGCGUAAAGAGCUCGUAGGCGGCUUGUCACGUCGGGUGUGAAAGCCCGGGGCUUAACCCCGGGUCUGCAUUCGAUACGGGCUAGCUAGAGUGUGGUAGGGGAGAUCGGAAUUCCUGGUGUAGCGGUGAAAUGCGCAGAUAUCAGGAGGAACACCGGUGGCGAAGGCGGAUCUCUGGGCCAUUACUGACGCUGAGGAGCGAAAGCGUGGGGAGCGAACAGG